rnacentral:rRNA from 1 species
GCCCCAGACUCCUACGGGAGGCAGCAGUGAGGAAUAUUGGUCAAUGGGCGCGAGCCUGAACCAGCCAAGUCGCGUGAGGGAGGACGGCCCUACGGGUUGUAAACCUCUUUUGCCGGGGAGCAACGGGCGUCACGUGUGGCGCCACUGAGAGUACCCGGAGAAAAAGCAUCGGCUAACUCCGUGCCAGCAGCCGCGGUAAUACGGAGGAUGCGAGCGUUAUCCGGAUUUAUUGGGUUUAAAGGGUGCGCAGGCGGGAGAUCAAGUCAGCGGUAAAAUGUCGGGGCUCAACCCCGGCCGGCCGUUGAAACUGGUUUUCUAGAGUUGGAGAGAAGUAUGCGGAAUUCGUGGUGUAGCGGUGAAAUGCAUAGAUAUCACGAAGAACUCCGAUUGCGAAGGCAGCAUACCGGCUCCAUACUGACGCUGAGGCACGAAAGCGUGGGGAUCGAACAGGAUUAGAUACCCUGCGUA